UACGUAGGGUGCGAGCGUUAAUCGGAAUUACUGGGCGUAAAGCGUGCGCAGGCGGUUUUGUAAGACAGAUGUGAAAUCCCCGGGCUCAACCUGGGAACUGCAUUUGUGACUGUAGAGCUGGAGUACGGCAGAGGGGGAUGGAAUUCCGCGUGUAGCAGUGAAAUGCGUAGAUAUGCGGAGGAACACCGAUGGCGAAGGCAAUCCCCUGGGCCUGUACUGACGCUCAUGCACGAAAGCGUGGGGAGCAAACAGG
rnacentral:rRNA from 1 species